UUGGAGGGCAAGUCUGGUGCCAGCAGCCGCGGUAAUUCCAGCUCCAAUAGCGUAUAUUAAAGUUGUUGCAGUUAAAAAGCUCGUAGUUGAAUUUCGGGACCAAUUUGUUGGUCGUGCCUCGGUACGUACUGGUAUUAUUGGUUUCUCCCUUCUGAAGAACCUUGAUGUCAUUAAUUUGGUGUCUUGGGGAAUCAGGACUGUUACUUUGAAAAAAUUAGAGUGUUUAAAGCAGGCAUACGCUUGAAUACAUUAGCAUGGAAUAAUGAAAUAGGACGUUUGAUUCUACUUUGUUGGUUUCUAGGAUCGACGUAAUGAUUAAUAGGGAUAGUUGGGGGCAUUAGUACUCAAUUGUCAGAGGUGAAAUUCUUGGAUUUAUUGAAGACUAACUACUGCGAAAGCAUUUGCCAAGGAUGUUUUCAUUAAUCAAGAACGAAAGUUAGGGGAUCGAAGACGAUCAGAUACCGUCGUAGUCUUAACCAUAAACUAUGCCGACUAGGGAUCGGAUGAUGUUAAUUUUUUAAUGACUCAUUCGGCGCCUUACGGGAAAC
rnacentral:rRNA from 1 species